rnacentral:rRNA from 1 species
GCUGACGAGUGGCGGACGGGUGAGUAAUGUCUGGGAAACUGCCUGAUGGAGGGGGAUAACUACUGGAAACGGUGGCUAAUACCGCAUAACGUCGCAAGACCAAAGAGGGGGACCUUCGGGCCUCUUGCCAUCAGAUGUGCCCAGAUGGGAUUAGCUUGUUGGUGAGGUAACGGCUCACCAAGGCGACGAUCCCUAGCUGGUCUGAGAGGAUGACCAGCCACACUGGAACUGAGACACGGUCCAGACUCCUACGGGAGGCAGCAGUGGGGAAUAUUGCACAAUGGGCGCAAGCCUGAUGCAGCCAUGCCGCGUGUAUGAAGAAGGCCUUCGGGUUGUAAAGUACUUUCAGCGGGGAGGAAGGGAGUAAGGUUAAUAACCUUAUUCAUUGACGUUACCCGCAGAAGAAGCACCGGCUAACUCCGUGCCAGCAGCCGCGGUAAUACGGAGGGUGCAAGCGUUAAUCGGAAUUACUGGGCGUAAAGCGCACGCAGGCGGUCUGUCAAGUCGGAUGUGAAAUCCCCGGGCUCAACCUGGGAACUGCAUUCGAAACUGGCAGGCUUGAGUCUUGUAGAGGGGGGUAGAAUUCCAGGUGUAGCGGUGAAAUGCGUAGAGAUCUGGAGGAAUACCGG